AUUGAGCGCUGGCGGCAUGCCUUACACAUGCAAGUCGAACGGCAGCACGGGGCAACCUGGUGGCGAGUGGCGAACGGGUGAGUAAUGCAUCGGAACGUACCUUUCAGUGGGGGAUAACGUAGCGAAAGUUACGCUAAUACCGCAUAUUCUGUGAGCAGGAAAGCAGGGGAUCGCAAGACCUUGCGCUGAUUGAGCGGCCGAUGUCAGAUUAGCUAGUUGGUGAGGUAAAGGCUCACCAAGGCGACGAUCUGUAGCGGGUCUGAGGAUGAUCCGCCACACUGGAACUGAGACACGGUCCAGACUCCUACGGGAGGCAGCAGUGGGGAAUUUUGGACAAUGGGGGCAACCCUGAUCCAGCCAUGCCGCGUGAGUGAAGAAGGCCUUCGGGUUGUAAAGCUCUUUCGGCCGGGAAGAAAUCGCACGGGCUAAUACCCUGUGUGGAUGACGGUACCGGAAUAAGAAGCACCGGCUAACUACGUGCCAGCCGCCGCCGUAAUAC
rnacentral:rRNA from 1 species